rnacentral:rRNA from 1 species
UACGUAGGGGGCAAGCGUUGUCCGGAGUACUGGGCGUAAAGCGCACGCAGGCGGUCUCUUAAGUUUGGAGUGACAGUUGGUGGCUUAACUGCCAAAGUGCUUCGAAAACUGAGAGACUUGAGGGCUUCAGAGGGACACGGAAUUCCCGGGUGUAGCGGUGAAAUGCGCAGAUAUCGGGAGGAACACCUGUGGCGAAAGCGGCUCACUGGACCGCAACUGACGCUGAGGCGCGAAAGCUAGGGGAGCAAACAGG